AUUCAAGCCAGACCGAAGGACUUCAAGGGGAUAUCUGCUGUAGAGAGUAUAUAGUGAAAAGAGAAAGUGAUUUAACACCAACACAAAUGCCCAGGGGAAGAAGGGAAAGCGUCUGCCAAUAAAGUGGCCAGAAUAAAAAGAAAGGAAACUUUCAAGUUGCUGUGGUAAACUAAACAAUAUCUACUCAAUGAUGUCCAUGUCUCAAUUACUGAAACCCAUGAACAUGUCACAUCACAUGGCAAAAGUAGGAUGUCUAAGUACCUAAAAAGAAGAAGAAUGAGAAGAAGGAGGAGGAAGAAGACAAGGAAAGAUGAAACUAAGCUUUCAUUCUUGCUUGAAGAGGAGGAAACAGUUCCAAGUCAUUUUAUGAGAGACAUGAAGGCCCAAGAUCAUCAUGGAUUCAGGGCACUGGAAAAUUGGGAGAAAUCCAUUUGUGUGUUUGCACUAGCAUCCCCAAAAUGCAACAGUGGAUUUCAGAUCAUUAUGGAAAAAAAGAAGAAACACAUCAAUGAAGAAAGUAAUAUAUAUUAACAGAACCAACAAAGCUAUUUUAGCUCUUCACUGUAAAUUUAAUUUCUUUUUAAAAAACCUUGAAACCAAUAAAAAGAUAGAUGAUACAUUGAACCAAAAAUCUGUAGCUCAAAUCUAGAUUAUGCUCAUUUGUGAAUGUUUUCAGUGUUUUAAAUUGAACGAGAUAACUUUUUCCCCAGAUGUUUGAAAUAAAGUAUUUUUGAGAAAAAAAGAAUCUGAAUCUUACUGUGAAAACUGAAGAUCAUCAGGUAGUUUUACAGACACACCA